rnacentral:tRNA from 1 species
UCCGGAGUAGCUCAAUGGUGGAGCGGCUCGCUGUUAACGAGAUGGUUCCCGGUUCGAGUCCGGGCUCCGGAGCCA